AGGUGUAGUUUAUGGGAUGUUUCUGAUAAACUGUAGGUUUCCAUUUGAUUGGAAGGCUGUACAGGUGGUUUGGGAGAUGCGCAGUGUUGCCCAACGUCACACUCGGUGGUGGUAUAAAAUCCCCUGGGUUUGUCCUCCAGUCAUUUAUCUUGAGAAAAUACGAAGGCAGGAAAGCUACAUUACGCGCAAUUGUUGCUGUGAAGAACCCGAUAACAAGAUGACUAAAAUUGUGUUGGCUUACAUUGGGUUCCUUCUCCUUGCCAUGCAUUUUUCGUCACAGGUCCACGCGCAAAACACUACCACACAGUCCCCUGCCAUGAAUGCUACGACCAGAGCUGGCGGUGCGAGUUCCAACAUGACCAAGAUGCCUGAUGUCACCAAGAACAACAUUCCCAAAGGAGCCAGUGCAUCCUUGCAGUCCAGCUCGGUUGCGCUCAUCAUACCCAUCAUGGUGGGGGGCUCACUACAGGGGCGCUUGUAGAGGGCUGUUGAGCAGUGAACAGACACCGGCAAGACUAACAUCGGCCUAGAUGGGGCAAACUGUUCUAAAAAGAGCUCAUUGGGAGAAAAAAAAAUUGAUGCGAGUUGAUGCGAACCCAUUUCUAUUUCACUGAUGGGAAUUGUUAUUUUCCCUCACACCUUCUGGCUGCUUCAAACCAGUAGGCCUUCACACCUCGCACACUGGCCCCAUGCCCAUAGGCCGAACUGUACGGUCCUCUCCAUGGAGGCAGUCCAUGAUGAGUAUGUACUGUACGGAACUCUGCUCUUUGAACCGUUUGGUCCCGCUGUUCCUGUGUAGACACCAGGGGGUAGUUUAGUAAUUUGUUAAGAAGUUAACAUAUCUAAAGAAAUGUUGGUUGAGGCACUUUGAAAAUAAGGUAUAAAUGAAUGUGGCACAGGCUUGAUGUACACUUGUGAUUUAUUUCUAGAAUAUGGAAUUGUAUGAGUUAGCAUGUGAGAUUUAAUUGUAUGAAUCAUGUGAUCUGUUUUUAAGGCCAGGUUCAAUAAACCUUUGAAAUGUAGGAUACUUGAGAGACCUUUCUUGUAUAAUAAAAAUAUUUUAACAUAAUGUUCCUUCUCCUGUCUCUAAAUUCUAAAGCUUGACCUGACAAGUAAUUUGCUCUGUUCCACUUGUCUCCAGCCCCUUUAUUGAUCACAUGGCUAAACCCAGGGAUUUCUUAAGGUAGACUAGGUUUGAUGUGCCACAAUUUAAAUCCUUAUUUUAGAAUUGGGUAUAGGAAUGUUCACCUUUUGGCCAGUUGUAGCAUUUAUGCCAUGUCAACUAGGACAUGACUUGUCUUGCAUUCCUUGUAUGGACUAAACCGUGUAAGCUUCCUGACAGUUGACUCACUUGCAGCCUGCUUUAAU
rnacentral:lncRNA from 1 species